rnacentral:rRNA from 1 species
AAAUUGAAGAGUUUGAUCAUGGCUCAGAUUGAACGCUGGCGGCAGGCCUAACACAUGCAAGUCGAGCGGUAGCACAGAGAGCUUGCUCUCGGGUGACGAGCGGCGGACGGGUGAGUAAUGUCUGGGAAACUGCCUGAUGGAGGGGGAUAACUACUGGAAACGGUAGCUAAUACCGCAUAAUGUCGCAAGACCAAAGUGGGGGACCUUCGGGCCUCAUGCCAUCAGAUGUGCCCAGAUGGGAUUAGCUAGUAGGUGGGGUAACGGCUCACCUAGGCGACGAUCCCUAGCUGGUCUGAGAGGAUGACCAGCCACACUGGAACUGAGACACGGUCCAGACUCCUACGGGAGGCAGCAGUGGGGAAUAUUGCACAAUGGGCGCAAGCCUGAUGCAGCCAUGCCGCGUGUGUGAAGAAGGCCUUCGGGUUGUAAAGCACUUUCAGCGGGGAGGAAGGCGUUAAGGUUAAUAACCUUGGCGAUUGACGUUACCCGCAGAAGAAGCACCGGCUAACUCCGUGCCAGCAGCCGCGGUAAUACGGAGGGUGCAAGCGUUAAUCGGAAUUACUGGGCGUAAAGCGCACGCAGGCGGUCUGUCAAGUCGGAUGUGAAAUCCCCGGGCUCAACCUGGGAACUGCAUUCGAAACUGGCAGGCUAGAGUCUUGUAGAGGGGGGUAGAAUUCCAGGUGUAGCGGUGAAAUGCGUAGAGAUCUGGAGGAAUACCGGUGGCGAAGGCGGCCCCCUGGACAAAGACUGACGCUCAGGUGCGAAAGCGUGGGGAGCAAACAGGAUUAGAUACCCUGGUAGUCCACGCCGUAAACGAUGUCGAUUUGGAGGUUGUGCCCUUGAGGCGUGGCUUCCGGAGCUAACGCGUUAAAUCGACCGCCUGGGGAGUACGGCCGCAAGGUUAAAACUCAAAUGAAUUGACGGGGGCCCGCACAAGCGGUGGAGCAUGUGGUUUAAUUCGAUGCAACGCGAAGAACCUUACCUGGUCUUGACAUCCACAGAACUUUCCAGAGAUGGAUUGGUGCCUUCGGGAACUGUGAGACAGGUGCUGCAUGGCUGUCGUCAGCUCGUGUUGUGAAAUGUUGGGUUAAGUCCCGCAACGAGCGCAACCCUUAUCCUUUGUUGCCAGCGGUUCGGCCGGGAACUCAAAGGAGACUGCCAGUGAUAAACUGGAGGAAGGUGGGGAUGACGUCAAGUCAUCAUGGCCCUUACGACCAGGGCUACACACGUGCUACAAUGGCAUAUACAAAGAGAAGCGACCUCGCGAGAGCAAGCGGACCUCAUAAAGUAUGUCGUAGUCCGGAUUGGAGUCUGCAACUCGACUCCAUGAAGUCGGAAUCGCUAGUAAUCGUAGAUCAGAAUGCUACGGUGAAUACGUUCCCGGGCCUUGUACACACCGCCCGUCACACCAUGGGAGUGGGUUGCAAAAAGAAGUAGGUAGCUUAACCUUCGGGAGGGCGCUUACCACUUUGUGAUUCAUGACUGGGGUGAAGUCGUAACAAGGUAACCGUAGGGGAACCUGCGGUUGGAUCACCUCCUUACCUUAAAGAA